GGCGGCGUAGCUCAGCGGUAGAGCAAGGGAAUCAUAAUCCCUGGGUCCGGGGUUCGAAUCCCCGCGCCGCCA
rnacentral:tRNA from 1 species